AGUGAACGCUGGCGGUAUGCCUAAUACAUGCAAGUCGAGCGAACGCAUAGGAAGAUCGUUCUCUUACGGGUGGCGAGUGGCGGACGGGUGAGGAAUACAUCGCAAUCCACUAUUUCUGGGGGGACAACGGGGGGAAACUGACACUAAUACCUCAUAUGACCUACGGCUGAAAUCAAUGGAGCUUCGGACCUUUCGUGUCUCAUUUAGCUGAUGUCGCAUUAGCUAGUUGGCGUGGUAAGGGCCCACCAAGGCAACGAUCCGUAGCUGGUCUGAGAGGAUGAUCAGCCACACUGGAACUGAGACACGGUCCAGACUCCUACGGGAGGCAGCAGUGGGGAAUCUUCCACAAUGGGCGAAAGCUUGACGCAGCAACACCGCGUGAGUGAUGAGGGUCUUCGGGUUGUAAAGCCCUUUUGUUAGGAAAGAAAAGAAGUAGGUUAAUCUACCGAUGUCCUGACGGUACCCAAAGAAUAAGCCACGGCUAACUUCGUG
rnacentral:rRNA from 1 species